UACAGAGGGGGCAAGCGUUGUUCGGAAUUACUGGGCGUAAAGGGCGCGUAGGCGGCCUGUUAAGUCGGACGUGAAAUCCCUCGGCUCAACCGGGGAACUGCGUCCGAUACUGGCGGGCUUGAAUUCGGGAGAGGGACGUGGAAUUCCAGGUGUAGCGGUGAAAUGCGUAGAUAUCUGGAGGAACACCGGUGGCGAAGGCGGCAUCCUGGACCGAUACUGACGCUGAGGAGCGAAAGCCAGGGGAGCAAACGGG
rnacentral:rRNA from 1 species